rnacentral:rRNA from 1 species
GUGGGGAAUAUUGGACAAUGGGCGAAAGCCUGAUCCAGCAAUGCCGCGUGAGUGAUGAAGGCCUUAGGGUUGUAAAGCUCUUUUACCCGGGAUGAUAAUGACAGUACCGGGAGAAUAAGCUCCGGCUAACUUCGUGCCAGCAGCCGCGGUAAUACGAGGGGAGCUAGCGUUGUUCGGAAUUACUGGGCGUAAAGCGCGCGUAGGCGGUUUUCCAAGUCAGGGGUGAAAGCCCGGGGCUCAACCCCGGAAUAGCCCUUGAAACUGGAGAACUAGAAUCUUGGAGAGGUCAGUGGAAUUCCGAGUGUAGAGGUGAAAUUCGUAGAUAUUCGGAAGAACACCAGUGGCGAAGGCGACUGACUGGACAAGUAUUGACGCUGAGGUGCGAAAGCGUGGGGAGCAAACAGGAUUAGAUACCCGAGUAGUCC